AAACGCUUACGACCCGACAGUGCAGCGUGGGGGUGGUUGCUCACCAGGUUCUUUGGGACCUGGGGAUUCUCUAUGCCCUCACAGCUCAGGCCAACAUCAGUUUCUAUUUUGAAGGGUAUCAGAAAGGCGCUUGGGAAUGUAGGUCGGCCUUCGGGCUUACUGUUAUAGCCCUUGUGUUGGAUAGAUGGCUCUGGGGACUGAGGACUGCGGUGCGCUUCCGCAUUGGGCGGCCAUUUCUUGGGCAAAUUGGCGGCAAGUGUCAGUCUGACUGGGCUUGUUGACUAAAAUGUCCAGGGGUGGUGUCUUCUGCCGCGCACCAAGGAUGUUGGUGGUAACGGUCCUAAUCGA
rnacentral:rRNA from 1 species